rnacentral:sRNA from 1 species
GUUGGGAAUUUUGGGAUUCAAUGGUGUGGAUCCCAUACACAUUAAUGUUUCUGUUAAAAAUUGACCUAUAAAGAUUUGAUCCAAAGAUUUUGGAAUUAUUUCGUCUAGCUCUAAUCACCCAAGUUAUUUCCUUUAAAUGGUGAUCAUUUUUUUUGUUUCUUAGAGUAUCUUAAGUUUUGUCCGAAAAAAAGAAAAAGAAAAAAGUAUCGUAAGCAAGAAAAAGAAAAAAGUACCGUAAGCAGUAGACAUUAUGGGACGAUUGGUAAGGGUGACUGUAAAGACUUUAACUUUAAAAAUAGUAACUGUAGAAAGUUUGGCUGCAGAGACUUUGAAUUUUAAAAUCUGAUCGGUAACAAAAGCUUUAAAAACUGUUACUGUUAUUUAUUUAUAUUUAUUACU